rnacentral:rRNA from 1 species
AAGCAAUAAGUGAUCCACCUGGGGAGUACGGCGGCAACGCUGAAACUCAAAGGAAUUGACGGGGGCCCGCACAAGCGGAGGAACAUGUGGUUUAAUUCGAUGAUACGCGAGGAACCUUACCUGGGCUUGAAAGGGGAUUGACCUCCCGGGAAACCGGGAUUCUCUUCGGAGCAAUCUCCUAGGUGCUGCAUGGUUGUCGUCAGCUCGUGCCGUGAGGUGUCGGGUUAAGUCCCAUAACGAGCGCAACCCCUAUUGUUAGUUGCCAGCGGGUAAUGCCGGGAACUCUAACGAAACUGCCGGUGUAAACCGAGAGGAAGGUGGGGAUGACGUCAAAUCAGCACGGCCCUUAUGUCCAGGGCUACACACGUGUUACAAUGGCCGGCACAAAGGGCA